GUCAGUCACGUUUCCAUGAACACCAAGAUCUAGAUCGAUCCAGCCAAGUGGUGUUACAAGCUCUCCAUUUGCUAGGUACAAAGAACCCUGUGUCCAUGGGUUAAGUGCUUUGGACUUCAUCACAUCGGACCACAGGUAUUCAUGUAAUAGGGUGCAGCUUGCACCAGUAUCCACGAUAGCCUUGCCGUACCAGGAACCUAUGUUGACAGGCACGACCAGCUGUUGAGGAGCAAGGGGGCCUAGCAGAUCCGUGGCGGGAGCAGUCGCGGAAGGAGAGGAGCUGGUGUUCGUGGUCCUUUUCCAAUUGGUGACCAAGACGGACAAGCUCAUCGACAUCUUUCACACGUCCUCGAAGUUGACUGGCAAGCUCAUCUUGGUAAUCUUCGGCCAGAAAUGCGGAUAGGAAAGAAGUCUUGAACUCCUCCCACGUACCAACUUGAGUACGGGUGAUUUCCCACCAGUCCCUGGCGGUACCAUGGAGAACUGUCCGGAAUGUGGCAAGAAUGUCAGCGUCUGUCAGAGGAUGCAGUGCAAUAAAGUCCUGACAUUUUGACAAAUAAAGCACAGGGUCUGUGUCGUCUCCGUUUUUUCCAUAAGUAGGAAAGACUUUCAUCAGCUUUAUAUGAUCCAC